AACGAACGCUGGCGGCAUGCCUAAUACAUGCAAGUCGAACGAGCCCUUCGGGGCUAGUGGCGCACGGGUGCGUAACGCGUGGGAAUCUGCCCUUGGGUUCGGAAUAACGUCUGGAAACGGACGCUAAUACCGGAUGACGACGAAAGUCCAAAGAUUUAUCGCCCAGGGAUGAGCCCGCGUAGGAUUAGCUAGUUGGUGAGGUAAAGGCUCACCAAGGCGACGAUCCUUAGCUGGUCUGAGAGGAUGAUCAGCCACACUGGGACUGAGACACGGCCCAGACUCCUACGGGAGGCAGCAGUAGGGAAUAUUGGACAAUGGGGGCAACCCUGAUCCAGCAAUGCCGCGUGAGUGAUGAAGGCCUUAGGGUUGUAAAGCUCUUUUACCCGGGAUGAUAAUGACAGUACCGGGAGAAUAAGCCCCGGCUAACUCCGUGCCAGCCGCCGCGGUAACAC
rnacentral:rRNA from 1 species